UACAGAGGGGGCAAGCGUUGUUCGGAAUUACUGGGCGUAAAGGGCGCGUAGGCGGCCUUCUAAGUCGAACGUGAAAUCCCUGGGCUUAACCCAGGAACUGCGUCCGAGACUGGAAGGCUUGAAUCCGGGAGAGGGAUGCGGAAUUCCGGGUGUAGCGGUGGAAUGCGUAGAGAUCCGGAAGAACACCGGUGGCGAAGGCGGCCUGCUGGGCAGUAGCUGACACUGAGGCGCGACAGCGUGGGGAGCAAACAGG
rnacentral:rRNA from 1 species